UCUCCGUUGGUGAACCAGCGGAGGGAUCAUUACCGAGUUUACAACUCCCAAACCCAAUGUGAACGUUACCAAACUGUUGCCUCGGCGGGGCCACGCCCCGGGUGCGCCGCAGCCCCGGAACCAGGCGCCCGCCGGAGGAACCAACCAAACUCUUUCUGUAGUCCCCUCGCGGACGUUAUUUCUUACAGCUCUGAGCAAAAAUUCAAAAUGAAUCAAAACUUUCAACAACGGAUCUCUUGGUUCUG
rnacentral:misc_RNA from 1 species